GGCAGUUCAGCCGCCCGGGAGCACCCGGCUGUAAAUCCGUCGCGAAAGCUUCGAAGGUUCGAAUCCUUCACCUGCCA
rnacentral:tRNA from 1 species